rnacentral:lncRNA from 1 species
CCGGGCCCGGGGAGCCGCCCUGCAUCGCCCGUCGAGCCCCAGCAGCAGGGAGUGGAUGUUGCCGUCUGUUGCCAGAAGUUUGCAAGUCUUCCAAGGAAGGAAGAAGAAAAAAAAAAAAAUGCCUUCGCUGGGGGCGUCUGCGUAGUCCGAGGAAACGUUUGUUCGUAUUUGUAUUUAUUUGCUGAUUUUUACCUUCUGCACGCCAGCAAGACAUCGUUUCAAGUGGUUGUAAAUCUUCAGGAACUUCGUAAAGCUCCUUGUGGUACUGCUACUCAUUAACCAUAACGUGUACCUCUGGCAAGUUAAGAAAUAACACUCAGUUUGAUUGAUGGAGGACUUCCCACAUCAGUGUGGAGAUUGGAUGCAAUAGGCUGUAUAUUUACUCUGUAAGAUGGGUGGGCCAUGACAGAAGCUGUUGGAAGGCAGAGAAACAAGGAGUUAUUCCAAGGAGCUGUCAUUGCAAAAUGAGGUGUCUCGCUGGACAUCUGGCAGGGGAGUGAGAAGCUCUGUCUGCCAAGAAAGCCUUCAGGAAGGUUUUGUUCCUUAGGUAUUCUGACUGCAUUUAUAAAUGAGAAGACUUGUGACCAGCUAAGAGAGUUUGCUGCAAGGAAUGGAAUUAGCUCAUAGCCUGCUGCUCAAUGAAGAAGCAUUCAAUCAACUAGGCGAAGUUCAGAAGGCUGAGUUUAUUUUUGAGUGGCUGAGACACUUGGAGAAGCUUUUGCUAGCAACCAGCAGGAACGAUGUAAGGGAGAAGCAGAAGACUCUUGUUGAACAGCUCUUAUCAUUACUGAACAGCUCCCCGGGGCCUCCCACUCGAAAACUCCUUGCUCAGAAUCUAGCCAUACUUUAUAGUAUUGGAGACACAUUUUCUGUUUAUGAGACAAUCGAUAAAUGUAAUGAUCUUAUUCGUAGCAAAGAUGACUCUCCAAGUUACCUUCCCACCAAACUUGCUGCUGUGGUGUGUUUGGGUUCCUUGUACAAGAAGUUGGGUAGAAUACUGGCUAAUGCCUUUACUGAUACAGUGGGCAAUAUUCUUAAAGCUAUGAAGAGUGCAGAGGUAAGUGCAACUGAAGAAUACCAUGAGAACAUCCUGUGUGAUUGUGCUUUCUGGAGUUAGUAAAAGGUU